GAUGAACGCUAGCGGCAGGCUUAACACAUGCAAGUCGAGGGGUAUAGUUAGCUUGCUAACUAGAGACCGGCGCACGGGUGCGUAACGCGUAUGCAAUCUACCUUUUACAGAGGGAUAGCCCAGAGAAAUUUGGAUUAAUACCUCAUAGUAUCUUUGCCUGGCAUCAGGUGAUUAUUAAAGUUCCAACGGUAAAAGAUGAGCAUGCGUCCUAUGAGCUAGAUGGUAAGGUAACGGCUUACCAUGGCAACGAUAGGUAGGGGUCCUGAGAGGGAGAUCCCCCACACUGGAACUGAGACACGGAACAGACUCCUACGGGAGGCAGCAGUGAGGAAUAUUGGACAAUGGGCGCAAGCCUGAUCCAGCCAUGCCGCGUGCAGGAAGAAGCAUCUAUGGUGUGUAAACUGCUUUUGUACGGGAAGAAACACUCCCUCGUGAGGGAGCUUGACGGUACCGUAAGAAUAAGGAUCGGCUAACUCCGUGCCAGCCGCCGCAGUAACAC
rnacentral:rRNA from 1 species